AUGGGGACCCCCAUUAGAAUGUGGAAUAACGUCCACAAACAACGGAGACGUCGUCCAUCGCAGCGGACGAAACCCUGCUGCGCGGAAAGAGACCCAGAGAGAGAGUUCGGGAUCUUCCACGUCCACAACUCGAGCAGUAUUAUCAUGUGUAAUCCCGUGGGGACGCCAGGAGUCAGGACCGCGGCGAUAACGCACGAGUCGGAGGAAGACGCCCGCAGAAUGAUGCGCGUUUGCGGAGCGCGAACGAGUGUGUCCGAGGGCGCAGCGAAGCGCCACUUUCAGCGAGUCUGGAUGGAGUCCGGUGGCCCCGCGACGCCACUCUCGGUGCGGACGGACUGACGGACGGACUGACGGCCCCCUCUCCGGCUGGCCUCGCGGCGCCUCCUUACAUGCGCUCCGCUUUUGUCGUGGAUCGCUUUCUCCAACCCUGUCCCCUCUCUUGUUUAGAUCCGCUUCAUGAAAACUAGAGAAAGAAGCACCGCUGCGUCAGUCAGUGUGUAUUUGUCACCCUAUAGCUCUAAAGUUUUUUAAUACACUGCAUUUUCAAUCAAUUAUAUUAUUUCUUAUAUGAUACUUCAGGUCUUAAGGGAAAAAUUCUGAAGGCGCGGAGAUCAGUAACAGCUGUAUUAUUUAUUGGGGAGGGGUUUAUAUAUAUAUAUACAUGCGUGUGUUAUAUAUAUAUUCUGGUCGAUUUUAGUGAUUUUGGACAGGUGGGUUUCCGUAGGUGUCUUUGUUUCAUAUUUAUGCCCCAGUGGUGGACCUGUACAGCAGUUCUUACUGUUGUGGCACAAAAUACCAAUGAAGGAACAGGACAGAGGUGAACUUUGAGUUUUUUUUUGGUUUUUGUUUUUUUUUUUUUGGCUGACAUAAGUAGAGCUUUGCGUUGUACAAAGGCUGAAAACCCUCUUUCGACUGUCUCUCUUUGGGUCUCAUGUGAGUCUGGCUUACUGGCCGGACCGAGCGCUUGAACCCUGACAUGUGGACCAAGUCGGAGGACAUGCCUACAGGGCUGCUCUCCAGGGAGGCCUCACACGCUGGCUGCGUCUACAGCGCCGCAGCAAUACAAAAUUCCACAUACUGUACACACGAUAUAUGUGUAAGUGCUCACUCUCUAUCCUGUUUUUGUAUUUUUCUCAGCAAAUAAGAUUUUUGUGCUUACUUGCUUCAGCAAUGAAAUGUGCUGAACAAAUAUUUGAGUGUUUCCAGUGCCCUUUACCUUGUACGGAGGCAAGGAGACUCUAAUGUUCUCUAUAUUUUUUAUUAAAAAAUUCUUUGAAAUGAUAUAACAUACAGUUCUCCAAAUAAUAACAGUCAUAACAACGAUAAUGGAAUGAACUGAAAUUAUGAAAUUUUGAGCAUUUGCAAUAACAAAGUGUAUAACGCUAUACAAAAUGAAUACACACUAACUUCUUUUUUUGAAGAUGUGGUAUUUUCAUAUUCACCUCUUCAUAUAAGGCAGGUCCUACUCUUUAUAAUCUAUCUAUGAUACAUCAGGUACCCUAAAAAGCAAAAAGAAUGCAAAUGCUCUUGACAUAUUUAAAAGACAUUUUGUACCAUAAGUUGUGUGUUGAGCGCUAAGGUCUGAAACAGUUUAUACCCAAUUAUUCAUUUCUGCUCUAAUAGAAGGCUCCCUUCAGAGCUUGGGGCAUUUGAGUGAUUCAUGUUUUAUUAGAAGUGAACAUAGGUGUAGUGGCAGAUUUAAAAAAAAAAAAAAAAACUAAUAAUAAUUAAUUAUUACAGAUACAGUUUAACUGUUCAUUAAAAUACUAUCAUGCAUUCAGUAUUUAUAAACAUUUCAAAAGCAUUUUUUAAACAGAGGCUAUUUGCAUGGUCUUCCAAUUUAACUGGUACCGGAGGCCCCCUUUGUAGGUCUGUUGUUAUGUUUUAAAAAUAUUCCGUACCGGUGAUUUUUUUGCCUCCCGCAGUAUAAUGUAUUUGCAGAAAUUGUUUGAUGUCUUGCUGCUGUAAUUUUACUUGCCUGAUUCACUUGUGUGCAAAACUUGAAAUCAAUUUCAGUAACUUAAAAUUCACAUCACAUUAAUGGUCAGAGAAGUUUAACCUGCAAAGAAUGACUGAAGCGACACGUAAUAUGUGAAAUUUUCCCUGCUUUAAUUGGGAUAUUUUAACAUCAACAAAUGCUGGUUGUCAUUAUUUACUUUAUUUAUAUAUUUAUUUCUUUUUCCUGCUUUGUACGUUUGUCAUACACAGAUGUCACAGUGCCGAUUCCAAAGAACAAAAUAAAUUUGAAAAAAAAAAAACUGCA
rnacentral:lncRNA from 1 species